GUUACUUUGAAAUAGAACAUCAGUUUGUAUACAGCAAGAACCGACGGUGCAUGCAUGUCAUGUGAAUUGUGUUGAUUUCAAAUACAGUAUUAAUUUGUCGUCAUUGUUGUGCAAUUAAUUGUAAAAAUUUCUGAUUUUUUUACAAAUUCGACAUCUGAUUCAGAGACUUUUUAAGUGGACUAAUACUUUGUCCUCGAUCAAUCGUUAACCACAUUCCGAGAAUAUAACUCAACUGAAACGAUGAAAAUCCUCCAGAGUUUGUUCAUCGUACUAUUCCUAGUGGCAGUACUGGGCUCUAAGUACUUUCCCGUAGCAGAAGGCGAUCAGACGUGUGAAUGCGUCAAAUGUGCAUGUUGUUCACCAAAGGAUAGGGAUCAUAGUGUUCAAUGUGAAACCGGACAGGUGUGCUGCCGUGAUAAACCCAUAUAUAGCUUAUGUGAUGCUGUUCAUCUGAUAUUCUUCAGACACGGCUACCGACCAUAAUAAGAUGGUAGUGUUGUAUGUAGCGAUGAAGAAAAAUAUGCUGCCGGGCACAUACUAAAGCACGUUAAGCGAGUUUAGUCUCGUUGUUCGUUUUUUUAAAAUAAAAUUUGUAUUGACCA